UGCUCUGUCAAAGCAGAGACGGUGAACCGGUGAAGUCUUAUUUCUAUAAAGAUGGGGACAUGAUUGGAUCUGAUCCUAAAGAAAAUUUGACUCUCACUAAUGUUCAGAAGUCUGAUGAAGGUCUCUACUCGUGCUCCACUGAGGAUCAUCCACAUACUCAUGAAAGCAGGCUGACAGUCAGAGAUCCUCCUACUGUAAAACCUACCACUACUACUACUACUACUACCACUACUACUACUACUACUACUACUACUACUACAACAACCACAACCACUCGUCGUCGCUCUUCUGGCCCUCCUCUCACAGCCUCCAUCAUGUCAGGUCUGGUUUCUGUGGUUCUCCUGGUUCUGGUUUGAGUUCUGCUCCUUUGGAGGAAGCUAAAAGAGGAAAGUGAGGACGCACUCUGCCUUAUGGAGGACCUUCAUCCUACUGUCUCAUCAUUGCCCCCCCCCCCCGAAGCUCCAGUAACCAGUAUAAAAGGGGGUGUGUCUUCAGAGUGUCAGCUUUGCUGUUGUAUCUUUACUGCUGGGCCUGGGAUUUUACAUGUUUUGUCUUAUUAUGCAGCACUUUGUGGUUGUUUUUAAAAGUGCUUUUAACCCUUCAAGACCUACCAUUGAACCAAUUCUGCCAGAGCUUUUCUUUAUAUUUUUACAUGCUGCCAUUUUGGGGAGCAUUUCAAGUUACUGUACACCAAUACAAC